AUUGAACGCUGGCGGCAUGCUUUAUACAUGCAAGUCGAACGGUAACAGGCCGCAAGGUGCUGACGAGUGGCGAACGGGUGAGUAAUGCAUCGGAACGUGCCCAGUCGUGGGGGAUAACUACUCGAAAGAGUAGCUAAUACCGCAUACGAUCUAUGGAUGAAAGCGGGGGACCGUAAGGCCUCGCGCGAUUGGAGCGGCCGAUGUCAGAUUAGGUAGUUGGUGGGGUAAAGGCUCACCAAGCCAACGAUCUGUAGCUGGUCUGAGAGGACAACCAGCCACACUGGGACUGAGACACGGCCCAGACUCCUACGGGAGGCAGCAGUGGGGAAUUUUGGACAAUGGGCGCAAGCCCGAUCCAGCAAUGCCGCGUGCAGGAAGAAGGCCUUCGGGUUGUAAACUGCUUUUGUACGGAACGAAACGGCUCUGGUUAAUACCCGGGGCUAAUGACGGUACCGGAAGAAUAAGCACCGGCUAACUACGUG
rnacentral:rRNA from 1 species